UACGGAGGGGGCUAGCGUUGUUCGGAAUUACUGGGCGUAAAGCGCACGUAGGCGGAUCGUUAAGUCGGGGGUGAAAUCCCGGGGCUCAACCCCGGAACUGCCUUCGAUACUGGCGGUCUUGAGGACGGUAGAGGCUAGUGGAAUGGCGAGUGUAGAGGUGAAAUUCGUAGAUAUUCGCCGGAACACCAGUGGCGAAGGCGACUGGCUGGACCGUUUCUGACGCUGAGGUGCGAAAGCGUGGGGAGCAAACAGG
rnacentral:rRNA from 1 species